ensembl:lncRNA
ACCUGGAGGCUGCAACCCGCCCUGGGCUUUAAGACCUGGCUUCCGGGUGUGAUGUCAGGCUGAUCUGUCCAGCUGUGACAGGCUAAUCCCUCCACUCUGCUGAGAUAGGAGAAUAAUCCCCAAAGAGGUUUCAUACCGGAUGAGUAGCACCAACCCAGGACUGGGCUAGCCAUGUAUAGCUCACAUCUGGCUCCUCCCCCAAGGAAAAUGCUCUGGAUGAGGAUCCCUCCACCUUUAGUUAACUAAGCGAGGGGGAGUUUCAGGAGGAUCCUGACCCCCAGCUGGAUCCUCAGCAAGGGCUGCCUGGCUGGGAUAAGAGAGAUCACCUGCAGGGAGCGCCGGGAGCCUGCUAUUAGCUUCCCUCUCCUGCUUUCAUUGCUUUGCCUUCCUUUCCUCAGCAGAGCGGAACCCCAUAAGCAAUUAACCCUUCACAAGCUGAGUCACCGGACUUUGGAUAAUACAGGAUUAGACCAUUUAGCUGAAGCAGCUCAAGUCUGUAAAUAUGCAUGGGUUUCUGGAGCCUUUGGCAAUGCCUUAUAUGGAUUUCCUGAAUCAUCAGCAGAACACAGAGAGUCUGGCUCUCCCCACCACCCUGCUGCUGGUGUGUAGCUGUAUCAGAGACAUUGCCUGGGAAGACCACGUGGGACCAGCUGUGUCUGAAACUCUGCUGAUUCUCAGGAACAAGGCCCUGAGCUGCACGUCUAGUUUCUCAGCUUGUCCGUUGGGAUGGAGCACCCUGUAGCAGUUAGUCAACCUGUGCAGAAGUGGAUAGCCGAAGAACUGCUUUCAAGCUACACAGUAGGAUAAAGAGGUAACCUGAUUCUUCUGCUUGAGUGGCUUCACGAAGCAGCGAACACUUUUCCUGUCCAUUGUUGAACCCCUCAUGCCUAACCCAGUGCCUAGAACACAGGCUCGUCAUAGAUGUGUGGAAUGAAUGGAUGAAAGAAAACAACGAAGAGCCAGUUGUCGGUGGAGGAUCCCAAAGGAGCAGUUCCGCCUUCAUGUUGAAGACUUUCUUUGCCCUGCAUGUUGUAACCACAUAAAGCUAGCUGGGAGCCACGUGGCUGCCCUCAUUGUUGCUCCUUGGCAAUGUUCUCUCUGUGCCAGGCAUCAAACAUGAGCCCCUCAGUGGGAUCCCUGCCCUGUGUGCGCCCCAAUACCUGGACACUUCCUGGAUGCUCCAAGAGGAUGGAGAUUUGCCCCUCCCGACUUUCCCAUGAUUAAUGUUUGUCCGUAGCCUUGUCACAACCAACCUUGGGAGUGUUGCUGGGUUCUGGUGGGGGUCCCUCCUGAGAGAGGCCUUUCUAUUCUGUGAGGUGAAUUGAAGGCUGUCAAACCUUUCGCUCAAACUGGUCUCAUCUGCAUCAAGUCGUACAGAAAUUCCUUGAAAUGUCUGGUAUGUGGGUGGAAUCCUUUUUCAGUUUUGAAGAAUGACAGAUUUUCCCCUAUCAUUAUUUUCCUUUGGCUGUGUCAAUGGGAGUUUGGAAGAGAGACAGGAUGGGAAGUUCAAUGUGAGGAUUUGAAUGCCUGUCACAGAAUAGAAGUCUGUCCUUGUACUUUUCCUAGUCUCUUUAGACAAAGUCCCCUCCACCUUAUAGCCCUAUGUAUGUAUAGCCCUAUGUAUGUAUGUAU